rnacentral:rRNA from 2 species
UAGGAGGUGAUCCAACCGCAGGUUCUCCUACGGCUACCUUGUUACGACUUCACCUAACUGGAGGGAGGUGGGGAUGACGUCAAAUCAUCAUGCCCCUUAUGACCUGGGCUACACACGUGCUACAAUGGACGGUACAACGAGUUGCGAAGUCGUGAGGCUAAGCUAAUCUCUUAAAGCCGUUCUCAGUUCGGAUUGUAGGCUGCAACUCGCCUACAUGAAGUUGGAAUCGCUAGUAAUCGCGGAUCAGCAUGCCGCGGUGAAUACGUUCCCGGGCCUUGUACACACCGCCCGUCACACCAUGAGAGUUUGUAACACCCAAAGCCGGUGAGAUAACCUUCGGGAGUCAGCCGUCUAAGGUGGGACAGAUGAUUAGGGUGAAGAAGUAAGCAGAGUGGCUUGCCCUC